rnacentral:rRNA from 1 species
AACGAACGCUGGCGGCAGGCCUAACACAUGCAAGUCGAGCGCCCCGCAAGGGGAGCGGCGGACGGGUGAGUAACGCGUGGAACGUGCCUCUUGCUAUGGAAUAGCCUCGGGAAACUGGGAGUAAUACCGUAUGUGCCCCACGGGGGAAAGAUUUAUCGGCAAGAGAUCGGCCCGCGUUGGAUUAGGUAGUUGGUGGGGUAAUGGCCUACCAAGCCGACGAUCCAUAGCUGGUUUGAGAGGAUGAUCAGCCACACUGGGACUGAGACACGGCCCAGACUCCUACGGGAGGCAGCAGUGGGGAAUCUUAGACAAUGGGCGCAAGCCUGAUCUAGCCAUGCCGCGUGAGCGAUGAAGGCCUUAGGGUUGUAAAGCUCUUUCAGUGGGGAAGAUAAUGACUGUACCCACAGAAGAAGCCCCGGCUAACUCCGUGCCAGCAGCCGCGGUAAU